rnacentral:piRNA from 1 species
UCAGCUUUGGGUGCUGACGGUGGGG